GACGACCGCUGGCGGCGUGCUCUACCCAUGCAAGUCGAACGAUGAAAGAGGAGCUUGCUCCUCUGGAUUAGUGGCGAACGGGUGAGUAACCCGUCAGCAAUCUGCCCCUGACUCCGGAAUAACUACGGGUAACUGUAGCUACUACCGGAUAUGCGCCGCACAGGCAUCUGUACCGGUGGGAAAGAAUUUCGGUCAGGGAUGAGCCCGCGGCCUAUCAGCUUGUUGGUGAGGAAACGGCUCAACAAGGCGACGACGGGUAGCCGGCCUGAGAGGGUGACCGGCCACGUUGGGACUAGAACACGGCCCAGACUCCUACGGGAGGCAGCAGUUGGGAAGAUUGCACAAUGGGCGCAAGCCGGAUGCAGCAACGCCGCGUGAGGGAUGACGGCCUUCUGGUUGUAAACCUCUUUUAGCAGGGAAGAAGCGAAAGUGACGGUACCUGCAGAAAGAGCGCCGGCUAAGUACGUG
rnacentral:rRNA from 1 species